CACUAUUCUAAGAACUUGAUGUCUAUUAACUCAUUUGAUUCUAAAAACCUUGUGGAUUAGGUAAUACUACUUCACUAUUUUGCAGAUGAGGAAACUGAGUCAAAAGAAUGUUCACUGAUUUUGUCAAGGUCACAGAACUGAAAAAUGGAGCACAAGAAGUAGUAGUGAAAGAGAACAAAAUCCUCUUCCCCAGGACCGUGAUCGUUAAUACCAAAACCUCCCCCAGACAGAGAAGAGGAACAAUAACCAGGUUAAGCAGAGAUACAGAGGUAAAUACUAAAAUUAACAUUCAAGCAAAUUUAAAGAGGUUUCCUCUGAGGAGCAGAAAACAGGCAAAGAUUUUGAGAGAGGACAGCUGUUUCGUUUGGUUUAGUUUUGUUUUAAAUAAUAAUCCUUAUGAAAAUUUUAAUUAUUUAAAGUAUGUGCAUGAAUAACUUGGAUUAAAUAAUUAAGUUAGAAAGGAUUAGAAAAAAUAAGGAUUAGCCCAGAAUAGAUAAGACUCGAGCAAGUAAUAAUGUGAUAAUCUGAUUUUAAGGGAGACUGACAGUAUUUGCGGGUAGUUUUAUAGGACCUUACCCAUUCAAAGGGAAACUGCUGUGAGAAUGUCAUCACUAUGAGGAUCCUCUCACACAUGUACAUGUUAAAUGGUGAAGCUGUAAUAGGCCAGUCUUGCAUUUAUGUUCAUGUUUCAUCAGCGUAAGAGUCAUUCUGCUAGGAGAGUCUAUAUUUAUUACUAAUCUAGGAGGCCUUCAUCUUUUCCUCUUCAACCCUCCUUCCAAACCUUAUCAAAUAAAACCACGUUAGAGACAUGGUUAAGGAACAUCUGGUCAUGACCUUCACCAUGGAAACAUGCUGUGUAAUAGGCAGACAGCUCUCCACUUGCCAAGAGCAAAUGCUCUCAUCUACCCUAUUUAUAGAGUCAUCAGUUAUGUGGAUCAAGUGAAGUCUAAGGUAUUGUCAAAUUGAGAAGUCCUGGUCUUGUUCAGUGUGUUUAGAGAAUAGUC
rnacentral:lncRNA from 1 species